rnacentral:rRNA from 1 species
UAGGGAAUCUUCCGCAAUGGGCGAAAGCUUGACGGAGCAACGCCGCGUGAGUGAUGAAGGUCUUCGGAUCGUAAAACUCUGUUAUUAGGGAAGAACAAAUGUGUAAGUAACUAUGCACGUCUUGACGGUACCUAAUCAGAAAGCCACGGCUAACUACGUGCCAGCAGCCGCGGUAAUACGUAGGUGGCAAGCGUUAUCCGGAAUUAUUGGGCGUAAAGCGCGCGUAGGCGGUUUUUUAAGUCUGAUGUGAAAGCCCACGGCUCAACCGUAGAGAGUCCUUUGAAACUGGAAAACUUGAGUGCAGAAGACGAAAGUGGAAUUCCAUGUGGAGCGGUGGAAUGCGCGGGGUUAUGGUGGAACACCAGUGGCGAAGGCGACUUUCUGGUCUGUAACUGACGCUGAUGUGCGAAAGCGUGGGGAUCAAACAGG